ensembl:lncRNA
AUACUGGCUAGGCACCCUCUUCAGAGCACCCUCUUUCAGCUCUCUCUCUCUCUCGGACAUGACAUUAAUGUGUACAUAUGAACACAUCUUAAGGUUAAAGCCAUUUAUGGAUAAAUCAGAGUAAAUUCUUUUAUAAUGUAUAGUUAUUAUUUUCAGAUUCCUGCCAUGGAGAACACCACCACAUUGUCCUGCAGAAACAUUUCUGAUGGUGAUGGUUACACUUACAAAGUGCCGUCUUAUAUACCAUCUGCUCUACUGCAGGACGAGGACUGUGAGCAAGAGUGGAAAAAUAAGGCAGGGGAGUUUUUGUCAGAUGGACAUCAUCAUGCAAAUAAAACUGAGCACCCACUGGUUCGUAAUGAAACCAUAAAAAACAUCAAAGUCUCUGAAUGCAUCGAGCUUCACCAUUCUGUGACCUGUCAUGGAUCGAGUCAAAAGUUUAUACACACUUACCAAGUGAUCAAUGACACCGCCCUGAGUUUUGAGCAGCAAUCCAAUAGCACCACCACCAACACCACCAUCAUCUCUGUUGUCGUUCCCCUUAUUCUGAUUGUAGUCCUGAUUGUAGGCCUACAUAAAACGGUACACUACAUAAAAAGGUAUAACAAGAACAAGAGAAGCUGUGUCAAAAGUAGUCAUAUCAAUGAAGAAGCUCAACCAGCCCAAGCCAUGGAAUGUAUGUAUUCUCCAAUUGUUUUAUAUCAACAUGCUAUAUAUAAUAUAAAUGUGUGUGUGUGUAUGUAUGUAUGUAUGUAUGUAUAUGUGUGUGUGUGUGUGUGUGUGUGUGUGUAAGUAUAUAUAUUAUAUAUAAAAAUAAAUAAAAUUAGUAUCUCACAAAAGUGAGUACACCCCUCACAUUUGUGUAAAUAUUUGAUGAUAUCUUUUCAUGUGACAGCACUGAAGAAAUGACACUUUGCUACAAUGUAAAGUAGUGAGUGUACAGCUUGUGUAACAGUGUAAAUUUGCUGUCCCCUCAAAAUAACUCAACACACAGCCAUUAAUGUCUAAACUGCUGGCAACAAAAGUGAGUGCACCCCUAAGUGAAAAUGUCCAAAUUGGGCCCAAAGUGUCAAUAUUUUGUGUGGCCACCAUUAUUUUCCAGCACUGCCUUAACCCUCUUGGGCAUGGAGUUCCUCUUCCGCUCCGUGAUGUCGUCAUGGAGGAGUGGAAGAGGACUCCAGUAGCAACCUGUGAAGCUUUUCUUUCUUUCUUUUUUUUUUUUUUUUUACACUGUAAGGGAAACAAAGAAGAGAAAUUAAAAAUGGCAAAUCUAAUCUCAGUUUAAAAUGCACUUUAUUAAAUAAUUUGACUAAUUUGUAAUGGCUAAGAGCCGUUGAUGAAAACAGAAUGUAAGAUUUAAUGUUGCAGUGUUCCAACAACAAAGUUUGUACUUAUACUGAUACUUGUUAUUGUCAGAGGUGGUUCGAAUAUCAAAAAUAGUGACUCAAGUUAAAGUACCAUUAAAAAAUAUGCCAAUCUGUCCAAGUACCUACUUGAUUAAGAGUAUGACUGUAUCUAGUUAAAAAAUUAAGGUUGCUGUUACACAGGAAGCGUCAGAUAAAACGGAUUGAAUGUAAAUGUAGACGCAUCCGAUUUUAAACUCCUUUAUUGAGAUGCGUUUGAUCAAGCAAGUGUAACUCCGAGUGAAAGCUUCUGCGUGCAGUGACAUGCCUAUUGCAUGUAGCGUUAUCACAGAGCAGGGUGUCGCAUUCAAACUUUCGUCAAGUAGUUUAACGCUGGUUAACUUAACAUAAUUAUAUCUUCAGUUUUGCUGAGCUUUAUCACCACCUUCAUCGCCAGCACCAUUUGGCGAAUAUUUGAUUUAAAUGAAAUUUUCACUGAGGAUAUUUUUUUUUAUAAUUGAGUAUUAGUGCCAGCCCUAUAAAGAGUUAAACAAUUAGAACAGGUGUAUAGAAUUUAGAUUUUCUAUUAUUAAAAUAAUUGUAUUUCUCUACUGUGUUUUGUCCGUCAGUGGUGAAGUGCUGAGCAGCCAGAGCACUCCAAGAGCAUAUGAAGAUUAAGUUUCUCCAUCCAGUUUGAUUCUGCCUUUUCUAUAAUCGUACUUGUAUAUCUGCUUUUGUACUUUCACUAUAUUUUUCUUGCAUUUUGAACAUUUUUAAAAUGUUAAAAUACUAAAUAGGUAAACAGACCUUGGAAUUAUAGGAUUCUUACCACAAGUGCCAAAUGUUUUAAUCACGUCAAAGCACACAGAACAACUUUUAUACUUCACACAUUUUAUUAUACUAUGUAGCAGUAUUUUGGUGUAAAAUAUAUUGUAUACGUUGUUGCGUCCCAGUCUAGGUUGGGCCGCACAAAGUAACCAGCUCAGGAUUCAAGUUGAUUGAUCUUUUAAAGUGUAAGUGAGGGAGCCAGGAGUAACAACAAAACAGGGUUGUUCAAAAAGUUGUAGUGUAUUAUCUCAGACAAUAUAUACAUAUAACUAUACAAAUAACCUAAAUAGGCAUAUCUUCAGGGUGGACCAAAGCCAAAAUAAUUAACAAAAGGAUCCUAUGAUUUAGGUGUCUAGCUGACCUAAAAGGAAAGAAAAGAAAAUAUAAAUAUUCUACCCUAACUACCUAAGCAAGAAACAGAGACAAAAGGGACCAUCUCCCAAAAUAAAUGACAGCCACACCCCUACAGCCACUGAACCAAAAGAGCACGAGCACACACACACACACACACACACACACACAUGUGGAGAGAAUGCACAAACAAUAUAUAUAUAGGGAUAACCAAACUCUGAGUCAAAAACCAGGCAGAAGUCAAAAUACAGAGUUAGCCACAAGGGCAAGCACACAAAUCAAGCAAUCUCCUAACACCACUACCAAACACCUCCAACACCCCACCACGUCUCACUCUGUCUUCCUCUUUAAAAAUGGCCGCCAUUCAUUGAGGUCAUCAAGGAGACGGGAGCAAGACAGACUAUGGCAGGCUUGGAAAAAAGCGUGAAAAGUAAACCGGUAUUUUAUUUUAAAAAAAAUUAAAAAGCAGAAAAAAUAUGUAUUGCUGCAUCAUUAACACUGCCUAUAGGUCAUCAAGAAGAGACUGCUAUAAUUGAGUUAGUCAAGUUUAAUUCAGUAUUUAAAAAAAAAAAAUACAGCUACAAUAUUUUUAAAAAAUCAGGCUGCCCCUUCAUUUUAUUAAAAACAUUUUUAUAGUACUGUGAAUUAAAAUGUUGCACAAAACAAUGAAGACCAAAGAACUUAUUAAAUCCUAGAGUAAUAUAAAAUACAGUAUUAAUAAUCAAAGAUUGUUAAAUUUGUUUACUUAUUGUAUGUUAUUUAUCACUUCAUGCUGCCAUUUAAAGAAUGUGUUUGUUUUAAACAACUGGCAGUUUAAGCUGACAUGACCACUCUGAGUGUAACAUUAAAGCAGGGCUGUCAAACAUGGGACUGGACUGUCCAGUGGGAAAUGACUGGCCCUAUAGAAGUAUUUGUAAUCCAACCUAGCAUAUGAAUUUAGAAACCAUAAUAUUUUAUUGGACAUUUAUUUAUUUUUAAUGAAUUGCAGAGUGCACACAAUGUAGAUUUCCACUAAAUUGGUCAAUAACCAACUUUUUCUGUCCCAUCGAACCAAGUAUAAUCUAUUCUGUAAGAUGUCCCUGAUUUAAAGCAUUAAUUUGUACUCAUGCAAUACUUUUAUUUAUUUCUUUAUUUAUUUUCUCAUUUUUUCUUUAAUGCCAUCACUUUAUUAGGGAUCUAAAUGUCUAUCAAGCUUCUCUGUGACUGUACAAUGAAAUAUCUGACCUUGCUGAGUGACUUUCUUUUAUAUACGUAGCCUGAACUGGAGAACUCUAUAUCUUGGGUGAAUGUAGCUGUUGCUGUAGAAUGAGACAAUCUGAAUAAAAAACAUCUCUUUUAAUACCACAGCACUGUUUGAUUCUGAAUUGUGAUUGGCCACAAUGUGUUGAUUGAUUUUUCUUUAAGAGCAGCUCUGGCAGUAGUGCAGCUGCAAAAUGGUUCAUGUUGUCUAGUUUGGUCUUUUCUGGAAAAAUUGCAAUAUGAUGCCAUAUUGUUACACCCUUAAACACUGUAUAUUACUUAACGUACCUUGUGCUUCUUUUGCUGUUUACUGUUUCAGAAAGUCACUAUAAAGCACAUGUCAGAAUGAUAACAUGGUCGGUACUACUGAGUGUUCAAUACAGAAAACAAUGGGAAUUUAAUGACCACUUGUACAGUGCUGCUAGAAAGUUUGUGAACCCUUUACAAAUUUCUGUAUUUCUGCAUAACUUUUACCAGAAAUGUGAUCAGAUCUUCAUCUAAGACUUAAAACUUGAUAAAGAGAACUCAAUAAAUAAAUGUAAAAACUAUGAUGUUUGUGUCAUUUGUUUAACUGAGCAAAAAA